UGGGGAAUAUUGGACAAUGGGCGAAAGCCUGAUCCAGCCAUGCCGCGUGUGUGAAGAAGGUCUUCGGAUUGUAACGCACUUUAAGUUGGGAGGAAGGGCAGUAAGCGAAUACCUUGCUGUUUUGACGUUACCGACAGAAUAAGCACCGGCUAACUCUGUGCCAGCAGCCGCGGUAAUACAGAGGGUGCAAGCGUUAAUCGGAAUUACUGGGCGUAAAGCGCGCGUAGGUGGUUCGUUAAGUUGAAUGUGAAAGCCCCGGGCUCAACCUGGGAACUGCAUCCAAAACUGGCGAGCUAGAGUAGGGCAGAGGGGGGUGGAAUUUCCUGUGUAGCGGUGAAAUGCGUAGAUAUAGGAAGGAACACCAGUGGCGAAGGCGACCACCUGGGCUCAUACUGACACUGAGGUGCGAAAGCGUGGGGAGCAAACAGG
rnacentral:rRNA from 1 species